UACACUCCUACGGGAGGCAACAGUGGGGAAUAUUGGACAAUGGGCGCAAGCCUGAUCCAGCCAUGCCGCGUGAGUGAUGAAGGCCCUAGGGUUGUAAAGCUCUUUCACCGGUGAAGAUAAUGACGGUAACCGGAGAAGAAGCCCCGGCUAACUUCGUGCCAGCAGCCGCGGUAAUACGAAGGGGGCUAGCGUUGUUCGGAUUUACUGGGCGUAAAGCGCACGUAGGCGGACUAUUAAGUCAGGGGUGAAAUCCCGGGGCUCAACCCCGGAACUGCCUUUGAUACUGGUAGUCUUGAGUUCGAGAGAGGUGAGUGGAAUUCCGAGUGUAGAGGUGAAAUUCGUAGAUAUUCGGAGGAACACCAGUGGCGAAGGCGGCUCACUGGCUCGAUACUGACGCUGAGGUGCGAAAGCGUGGGGAGCAAACAGGAUUAGAAACCCCGGUAGUCC
rnacentral:rRNA from 1 species